AAUAUAGGUUCAUAACUUUGAUCUACUACAAGUCAUAGAUAUUUUAGGUUUCUAUAGGAGGGAUGGUGUGCGCCAUAGCUGAGCCUGGUGUACAUCAUUCUUUUAUAGCUAUACAUAGUGUUCAUUUGCCUUCAAAUUUGAGAUAUCCAUUAACCUGAGGUUUCUAUAUUUAUGUUUCAAGAUAGCUGGAAAGAGCAAGAAUCAACAAAAGGUGAUGAUUUAAUAGGGGACAAUUGUGUCAUAUUCUUAGACUAGUGAGUGGGAAGACUUCAGAUUAGAAAAUAACCAAAAGUAAGACUUUAUUAUUAUUAUUAUUUGAGAGGGAGUCUCACUCUGUCACCCAGGCUGGAGUGCAGAGAUGGGAUCUCGGCUCACUGCA
rnacentral:lncRNA from 10 species